GUUACAGUCGUAUGUGGGUAUCCAGCUGUCUUUGAGGGCUGAAAAGCAGAUCUCACUUUGAACAGCACGUCAAAAUAUAUAUCUUGCUAGAUGCCAUUUCCUUGAUCAGUUAGUAGUACUCAGCUUUUUAUUCAAAGCUUAUUUUGCUUUUAAUCUGGCUAUAUAAAACAUACAAACAAUCUUGAUCUGACCUUGGACUAGAUCUUUAUUGCCUAGGACUCAAGGAUCGCUACCUUCUUUUUCCUUCUUUCUAUGACAUAGCCUUGCACUGAGGAACGUCCAUCCUGGGCUGAGGAGUUCCUGGUGAUGGUGACAGCUUCUUUCCUGACAUCUACCCCUCGAGACUGAGGCACCUGUUCAAGUGAAUUCACACAGAGAAAAAUAAGUUUAGCAACAGAAUUCAUGGAUUUCAAAUUGUGUAUGUGCGCAUAUGUAUACAUAAAUACCAAUAGCAAGAAGUCAAGAAGGAUAACUUGCAUGUUUACUUGAUUCAUGGCUGUAAUCUUCUUUAACAGCCUAUUACUUUGCCAGCUACUUCCCUUUAUCACUUCAAAGGUUGGAACAUUUAAAUGCCUGCAUUUAUUCCAAAAAUGAGCUCUUUCUGCAGUAUGCUACAGAGCUGCACAGAAACACUUCCCUUAAUCCAUAGGAAGUUUGGAUAAAAAUGGAAAAUUGCAGCACUUCAGGUGAGAACUGAUAUAUAUUACUUCAGUUUGGAAAUUUUACUUCUGAAAUGCUUCAACAGGCCAGACACACUGUCUACACUAUCUUCUGUGACACAUUCUGAUCCUGGGAAAAAGAGAGCUACAAAUGGCAGGAUGCACAGCUUCUCUGGGGAUGCCAUAAAGGAAAAACAAGCACAAGAGGUACCCAAACCAGGCAAAGCAGCUCAAGGAACCCAAAAGCUGAAGCAGAAAAGCAGCCUCUUGCACUAUUCAGGAUCCCCAGCUGGUCCAAAAGAACUUUCAAGCCAGAUAAACAUUUCUGCAACACUUUUGUCUGAAUCUGAACUCUGCAUAAGGAAAUAUGGGUCUAUAAAUAAGAUACCAGACUGCAAUUCCAUUGUGCGUAGGAUUUGGUAGGAGCCUUCUGGACCACUGCAUGGGAGAGGCAGCUCAGCUGUGGCUUUCCAGGUCACCUAUACCACAUAAAUGGUUUCUUCACUGGAGGAAAGGUCAGAGAAUCCCCUCAUCCCACACAGUCCCUACGCUGCCACAUUCACAUUCUAGGACUGGUACCCAUCCUCCAAAAGUUAGGGUAUCCAUGUCCACCACCAGCCAAUCGCAACCUUGGCCAUGGACUCCUCAUAGGGCUGCAUGCCCAGAAAGCCAAGGGCUGGAUAUGCCAUUGUGAAACUGCUCCUUUCAUCUGACCUGUUUUGGGACAAAGUGCUACUAAUAGAGUGACUUCCACCCAAGUCUGUGCAUCAAGUCAAACCAGGGUUUGUGGGACAACACCUGAUGCAGAAAAUGCAAAGCUAUUAGAGAGAAGCCAGACUCAGAGAUAGUUGUCAGGAUGGGCAGUAGGGCAGAUCAGUCUUCCACACAAACUGCCUAAAAUCUGUCUGACCUCACAGCUGAGCUCCUCUUGGUCCCUGAGGUUUCCUUCAUACCAUCCUACCAACUAAAUAUGCUGUUGUUCUUGAACCUGCAAAGGAUAUGCUUAAUAUGAUUGUUUCCUCUUUCCAAUCACUUUGUUUUAAAAUGGUGUUAAAUGCUACACUUCUCAUGGAAGGCACCUGGGCAUACUCAAAGCUUGUCCACAAUUAACAGAAGUUAUCAUAGAUACUAAAAGCCACUAAAAUCCACACUCUGUGAGGAAGAACUUUGAAAUUCUUCUCCAGCCCAUGAUGAGAGCACAAAGAUAUUUUUGCCAAACUUCCCCUCCUAGCAGCCUUGUGUCUUUCUGUAGAGAUCUUAGGUACAAGUGUACAGCAUCAAUAAUGCUACUGCAAAAUUAAAUAAACACGAUAUUAAAUAUUUACUACACCAAGAGUCUCAUGCUGUGCCGCUGGUUCUUAGCAUUCAAACAUCCCAUGGGUCACUUUAAAAAGUAAGGAUUCAUUAUGACAAUCCCAGUUAAAAUAGAA
ensembl:lncRNA